AUUGAACGCUGGCGGCAUGCCUAACACAUGCAAGUCGAGCGAAGCCUUCGGGCUUAGCGGCGGACGGGUGAGUAACGCGGGGGAACGUGCCCUUUGGUACGGAAUAGCCCCGGGAAACUGGGAGUAAUACCGUAUGUGGUCGAGAGACGAAAGAUUUAUCGCCAAAGGAUCGGCCCGCGUUGGAUUAGGUAGUUGGUGGGGUAAUGGCCUACCAAGCCGACGAUCCAUAGCUGGUUUGAGAGGAUGAUCAGCCACACUGGGACUGAGACACGGCCCAGACUCCUACGGGAGGCAGCAGUGGGGAAUCUUAGACAAUGGGGGAAACCCUGAUCUAGCCAUGCCGCGUGAUCGAUGAAGGCCUUAGGGUUGUAAAGAUCUUUCAGUGGGGAAGAUAAUGACUGUACCCACAGAAGAAGCACCGGCUAACUCCGUGCCAGCCGCCGCUGUAACAC
rnacentral:rRNA from 1 species